rnacentral:rRNA from 1 species
GUGUCAGCCGCCGCGGUAAUACAGAGGUGGCAAGCGUUGUUCGGAAUUACUGGGCGUAAAGGGCGCGUAGGUGGCCUUCUUAGUCAGACGUGAAAUCCCCGGGCUUAACUCGGGAACUGCGUCUGAUACUGGAAGGCUCGAGUUCGGGAGAGGAAUGUGGAAUUCCAGGUGUAGCGGUGAAAUGCGUAGAUAUCUGGAGGAACACCGGUGGCGAAGGCGGCAUUCUGGACCGAAACUGACACUGAGGCGCGAAAGCCAGGGGAGCAAACGGGAUUAGAUACCCGAGUAGUCC